rnacentral:rRNA from 1 species
UACGUAGGGUGCGAGCGUUGUCCGGAAUUAUUGGGCGUAAAGAGCUUGUAGGCGGUUUGUCGCGUCUGCUGUGAAAAUCCGGGGCUCAACCCCGGACUUGCAGUGGGUACGGGCAGACUAGAGUGUGGUAGGGGAGACUGGAAUUCCUGGUGUAGCGGUGAAAUGCGCAGAUAUCAGGAGGAACACCGAUGGCGAAGGCAGGUCUCUGGGCCGUAACUGACGCUGAGGAGCGAAAGCGUGGGGAGCGAACAGG